CCCAGACUCCUACGGGAGGCAGCAGUGGGGGAUAUUGCACAAUGGGGGAAACCCUGAUGCAGCGACGCCGCGUGGGUGAAGAAGCGCCUCGGCGCGUAAAGCCCUAUCGGCAGGGAAGAAGGAGGACGGUACCUGACUAAGAAGCCCCGGCUAACUACGUGCCAGCAGCCGCGGUAAUACGUAGGGGGCAAGCGUUAUCCGGAUUUACUGGGUGUAAAGGGGGCGCAGACGGCAGCGCAAGCCAGGAGUGAAAGCCCGGGGCCCAACCCCGGGACUGCUCUUGGAACUGCGCGGCUGGAGUGCAGGAGGGGCAGGCGGAAUUCCUGGUGUAGCGGUGAAAUGCGUAGAUAUCAGGAGGAACACCGGUGGCGAAGGCGGCCUGCUGGACUGCGACUGACGUUGAGGCCCGAAAGCGUGGGGAGCAAACAGGAUUAGAUACCCUCGUAU
rnacentral:rRNA from 1 species